rnacentral:rRNA from 1 species
CCUACGGGAGGCAGCAGUGGGGAAUAUUGCACAAUGGGCGCAAGCCUGAUGCAGCCAUGCCGCGUGUGUGAAGAAGGCCUUCGGGUUGUAAAGCACUUUCAGCGGGGAGGAAGGCGGUGAGGUUAAUAACCUCAUCGAUUGACGUUACCCGCAGAAGAAGCACCGGCUAACUCCGUGCCAGCAGCCGCGGUAACACGGAGGGUGCAAGCGUUAAUCGGAAUUACUGGGCGUAAAGCGCACGCAGGCGGUCUGUCAAGUCGGAUGUGAAAUCCCCGGGCUCAACCUGGGAACUGCAUUCGAAACUGGCAGGCUAGAGUCUUGUAGAGGGGGGUAGAAUUCCAGGUGUAGCGGUGAAAUGCGUAGAGAUCUGGAGGAAUACCGGUGGCGAAGGCGGCCCCCUGGACAAAGACUGACGCUCAGGUGCGAAAGCGUGGGGAGCAAACAGGAUUAGAUACCCGAGUAGUC